rnacentral:rRNA from 1 species
UACAGAGGGUGCAAGCGUUGCUCGGAUUUACUGGGCGUAAAGCGUACGCAGACGGUGAGAAAGGUCGGAUGUGAAAGCCCCGGGCUCAACCCGGGAACUGCAUCCGAAACCAUCUCGCUAGAGUAUGGGAGAGGGAAGCAGAAUUCCUGGUGUAGAGGUGAAAUUCGUAGAUAUCAGGAGGAAUACCUGCGGCGAAGGCGGCUUCCUGGCCCAUUACUGGACGUUCAGG